AUGAAGCACCGGAGCGUCAAGCAACGGAGAGUUUGGUACAACCCUCGAACGAUGGCCCUGUUUCUCUGCCCCAAGGAUCAUCAUGACAUGCCCGACGGCACCACCCUUGGGUUCCACACAUUCUCCUGCGAAGAGGAUCAGAUGCCGUCCCGUGUGGUAUGUGUCCAUCACGACUACUCACGGCCUUGCGCACUGGUCGCUGUCUUCUCAUCGGACACCAUGGAGUGGCAAAUCUUCCCGGAGAGUGCGACGCCGCUGCCUCAUGGCUUCAGGAGCACAACCUGCACCGUGCUGGAUGGGUUUAUAUGUUGGCAAUGCGUGUCCAUGAGCGGGAUGAUUGUCAGCCAGUACAUUUUCGUGCUCAACACAGACACAUUUCAGUUCUACCGGAUGGAUCUGCCGCCGCCCUUGAGAGUGAUACCCCAAACAUUUAAGAUUGGUCAGACCAAUGAUGGGAGGCUCUGUAUUGUGAAUGAGAAGGAAUGCACAUUUAGUAUUUGGAUCUCAACAACCGGCGAUGAUGGCAUCGAGAGAUUUGUGCUGGACAAGAUGUUCCCGUUGCAGGCUAGCGUUAUGGGGUCAUCAGUUGUUCAGUGA
rnacentral:rRNA from 1 species